rnacentral:tmRNA from 1 species
GGGGGCGACUGGCUUCGACGGAAUUAGUGAAGCUGUGGCUGCGUGCCCAGGUCAUCCGUGUCCUGGUUAAAUAAGCGGGUAAAUUUUUAACUGCCAACAACAA